AUCAGGGGGAUAGCCUCUCGAAAGAGAGAUUAAGACCGCAUAAAAUCACUUUAUGGCAUCGUAGAGUGAUCAAAUAUUUAUAGGAUCAAGAUGGGCAUGCGGAACAUUAGCUAGUUGGUAAGGUAACGGCUUACCAAGGCUACGAUGUUUAGGGGAUCUGAGAGGAUGACCCCCCACACUGGUACUGAGACACGGACCAGACUCCUACGGGAGGCAGCAGUAAGGAAUAUUGGUCAAUGGGCGGAAGCCUGAACCAGCCAUGCCGCGUGCAGGAAGACGGCCCUACGGGUUGUAAACUGCUUUUGUACCGGAAUAAACCUUUGGUCGUGACCAGAGCUGAAUGUACGGUAAGAAUAAGGAUCGGCUAACUCCGUGCCAGCAGCCGCGGUAAUACGGAGGAUCCAAGCGUUAUCCGGAUUUAUUGGGUUUAAAGGGUGCGUAGGUGGCUUAUUAAGUCAGGGGUGAAAGACGGUAGCUUAACUAUCGCAGUGCCUUUGAUACUGAUGAGCUUGAAUGAACUAGAGGUAGGCGGAAUGUGACAAGUAGCGGUGAAAUGCAUAGAUAUGUCACAGAACACCAAUUGCGAAGGCAGCUUACUAUGGUUAAAUUGACACUGAGGCACGAAAGCGUGGGGAUCAAACAGGAUUAGA
rnacentral:rRNA from 1 species